ensembl:lncRNA
AUAGUUACAGUUUUAUAGUCUUUAAUAGUCCUAUCAAUAGUUUUACACCUUUUUUCUUGGUUUGGCGCUAUAAGGAGGCAGAUCUGAUAGCCCUGGUGCUUAGAGGAAAGUGAUUCUAGGUUGGAGAUCAAGGGGGAAUGCAUGUACCCAGAAAUCAAAGGACAGUUGCUGCAGAGUUCUAUGGGUUUGAGGAUUUAGAAAAGAUAUGGCCAGAAGGAGUGGAAGCAAAAACUCAAGGUAAUUCGGCAGAGUUAAUGACCUUAUCAUGUGAGCCUUUCUGACUCCUUGUUUUUCUUUGAUUUUCUGCUUUGGAGUGAGUGUUGGGGCAUGCUCCUUUUCCAUUUCUCUGUUUGUGGAAGAAGGUUGCUCCGUGUGUGCACGCGCACACACACACAUGCAUUGAGUUCUAAGGGCUGUUUCCAGAAGUCCCGUUAUUCCCUAUGGCUGUAUGCUACCUUCUGGUGUGAUAUUGUGGAUAAUAAACUUUUCAGGCAGUUCUGCAGAGGACUGAACUUUGAUUGUGAUGUUAUCUGGUUAAGAAAGUACAAUAGUGGUUAAAGUGGUGAGCUUUGGAGAGAAAAAGGCCUUGGUUUGAAUUCCAGCUCUGCCUCUUAGAAAGUGUGUGACCCUGGACAGGAUGCUUUAUCGCCAGAUGUUAAGUCUUGACUUUCCAUUGUUUAAAAAUAGGUCUAGUGAUUUGGUAGUUCUAGGUUGGUGGUGAGGGUUAAAUAAGAAAAUGUUUAUGAAAAGUGAUUUAUUUAGCAUGUUAAUCUUCGUACUGUUUGCACUGCCUUGAGAUCUAAACAUUGCGGUUUUCUAAAGGAAACUUUUAAGUAUUGGGGUUUUAUGUUAGAGGACACCUAUAUUGGUUUUCUAUUGGUUCUGUAAUAAAUUAACAUAAACUUAAUGGCCUAAAACAUCACCAGCUUAUUAUAUUACAGUUCCACAGGGUAGAAGUUCAACACGGGUCUCACUGGGCUAAAAUCAAGGUAUCUGCGGGAGUGUCCUCUUUUCUGGAUGUUCCAGAGGAAAGUCUGUUUCUUUGCCUUUUCAGGGCUUCUAGAGGCCAUCCACACUCCUAAGCUCCAGGCUCCCUUUCCCCCCAUCUUCAAAGCCAGCAAUGGUGUGGAGUUCUUGUCACAUCCCAACUCUUUGGUAUCUUCUGCCUCCGUUUUCUGGUUGUAAGGACCCUGCGAUUACCUUGGGUCCACCUGAAUAAUCCAGGAAAUCUCCCUGUUUUUAGGUCAGCUGAUGAACAGCUGUCAUUUCAUCAGCAAUCAUAAUUCCCCUUUCUGUGUGAUGUAACAUACUCACAGGCUCCUGGGAUUAGAAUGUGGGUAUCUUUGAUUCUGCCUACCACAGCCCCUAUAGCAACACUGACAAAAUGUGUGGCCCAAGGGAAUGUACCACUUAAAGUGAAUUUGCUUUUGAGUCCUUAGAGUCAAAUGAAGUAAGGAGAAGACAGUUCCAGGACCAGGAGAGCAUCAUUUUUGGGGAUACUGUUAACUUGAAUUGUAAGAUCUAUGACCAGAAUUUCAGCGCAAUCUAGAAGGGUAAAAUCACAGAGAUCCCAGUUACUGGCCGUUUUCUCAGAAUGGAAUAAAAUGACCAAGGUCCAGGAGUAAUUAGGUUACAAGUCACUGCUCCCCACUCAUUCAUUUGAAACUUUGUGCUUGCUUGAAGAGGACAAAUGACUGAUGCAAGUUCCUCAGGAGCCUGGAGAAGGAACCCCCAUGGAACUUUGUUUCCAGUCUCUGAGGAGAGCACAUGGCUGGCUGAUGGUAGAAUCCUUGAGGGUGUGUGAUGAAGAUGAUUCUGAGACUGUGGGCAGAAACUGAAAACUGCAGCCAAAUGUUUCCUUUGCAGCAAGAAGAGAAAGACAGGAAAAAGCAAGUCCCUUCUCCAUAUUCCUUCUGCCUGCCCAUUCUCUCUAGUGCUCCAUAUUGGCAAAACCUAACAUGAAGGCAGCCAGCAAAAGAUAAUGUGGUUUGCAAUACCAGCCCCAGAAUUACAAAGCAGACAAUGGAAGAGUAGGUUGAGAGAUGGGAGACAAUAGCUGUAGUAACUAGCACAGCAACCUUCUUUAAUUGUGAGUAGCUAUGAUGCGUGCCUCCCCCAAUUUACAAAUAUUACAGUCUACUUAUAGAUGAGUGCAGAAUGAAAAUAUAUUUGUGAAUAGGAUGAUGCUUAUUCAAACAAUCCUUGAAUAUUUGUUGUGUAUAAGAAAAUAUGUUAGUAAAGUUAUUAGUCAUGAUGUGUGUGUGUGUGUGUGUUCUUCAGUAACUUUAAUGGGACAUAUGACACGAAACAUCACUAUGGUUUAUGACCCCAGAAUCUAUCACUCUAACCAUUUUUGUAUGUUUUUAUGUAGUAUAAAUAGCGUCAUGUGUUAUUUUAGGGACAAAUAUACAGUCUAAAAUCAUGUGAAUAAGUGGUAUUUCAGAUCACUGGGGAAAGGGAAGAUCCUUAAGGGGUGCUGGGAUUAUUGAUUAUUGAUCUGGAAAAAAAAUUAGAUCCCUACCUCAUGUCAUAUAUCAGGAUCCAUUCUCAAUAGAUCAAAGACCUAAAUUUGAAAGAUAAAACUUAAAGAUCACAAUUUUGGGGAGAUGACUGGAUUCUGAACAUUUCAAAAGGCCUCUUCCCACUGGCUUCCAACCCUGACUUCCUCAUAUUUCCAGUAAUUGACCCGUGGAAGUGCCCCAGUAACUGACCACAAGGACUUUCCCUUCACUGGCCUCCACGGAUCAUUCUUGACUGAUCCUCAAAAGCCUGCCGAUCCUAGACUACCAGGGACCUCCAUCCCAUUUAUUCCUCAAACCUUCCCAUCUACUGACCUACAGCCAGCCACCCUGAUGGGUGAAUAUAACAGGAAUUUCAAUCCUCAGGCUGGCAAUUGCUGUCCCUUUGUUUUCUCAGUCUCCUCACUGGUGAGCUGGAGAUUGGCACCUGAGCUAACAUCUGUGGUCAACCUUCUUCUUUUGUUUUCUUCUUCUCCCCAAAGCCCCCCAGUGCAUAGUUGUAUAUUGUAGUUGUAGGUCCUUCUGGUUGCGCUAUGUGGGACACCACCUCUGCAUGGCCUGAUGAGCAGUGCCAUGUCUGCCCAGGAUCCGAACUGGCGAAACCCUGAGCCACUGAAGCGGAGUGCAUGAACUUAACCACUUGGCCAUGGGGCUGGCCCGUGAGCUAACAUCUGUGCCAGUCUUCCUCUGCUUUUUGUAUGUGGGACACUGCUGAAGCAUGGCUUGAUGAGCAAUGCGUAGGUCUGCACCUAGGAUCCAAACUCAUGAACCCCAGGCCACUGAAGCGGAGUGCAUGAACUUAACCACUACACCACCAGGCGUCCCUUGUACAUCAGCUUUAAUUAUUAAAGUAAAGAAUGCAUUAAACAUUAUCCCAAAGUAAAGAGUGCACUCUUUGAAGAUGCGGAUGAAUGCCUUCCUUCCUAUCUUGCCAAAACCAGUACUCCUUUGAAGAUCGGUUUCACUUCCCAGACGUCAGGGUCGCGUUGACUUGUUGCAUAUGUGCUAAUCUGUAAUUAAGUGAUUAAGUAAUUUGAAGCGUUGAGAAAUAUGUAUCUUUGACAUGUUUGAUGUAUAUUCUUUGUUCUGGAAAGAUAUAAAAACUAUG